rnacentral:rRNA from 1 species
AUGAACGCUGGCGGCGUGCCUAAUCCAUGCAAGUCGCGCGAACAGACGAGGAGCUUGCUCCUCUGACGUUAGCGGCGGACGGGUGAGUAACACGUGGAUAACCUACCUAUAAGACUGGGAUAACUUCGGGAAACCGGAGCUAAUACCGGAUAAUAUAUUGAACCGCAUGGUUCAAUAGUGAAAGACGGUUUUGCUGUCACUUAUAGAUGGAUCCGCGCCGCAUUAGCUAGUUGGUAAGGUAACGGCUUACCAAGGCAACGAUGCGUAGCCGACCUGAGAGGGUGAUCGGCCACACUGGAACUGAGACACGGUCCAGACUCCUACGGGAGGCAGCAGUAGGGAAUCUUCCGCAAUGGGCGAAAGCCUGACGGAGCAACGCCGCGUGAGUGAUGAAGGUCUUUGGAUCGUAAAACUCUGUUAUUAGGGAAGAACAAAUGUGUAAGUAACUAUGCACGUCUUGACGGUACCUAAUCAGAAAGCCACGGCUAACUACGUG